AGUGAACGCUGGCGGUAGGCCUAACACAUGCAAGUAGAACGGCAGCACAGUAAGAGCUUGCUCUUACGGGUGGCGAGUGGCGGACGGGUGAGGAAUACAUCGGAAUCUACUUUUUCGUGGGGGAUAACGUAGGGAAACUUACGAUAAUACCGCAUACGACCUACGGGUGAAAGCAGGGGAUCUUCGGACCUUGCGCGAUUGAAUGAGCCGAUGUCGGAUUAGCUAGUUGGCGGGGUAAAGGCCCACCAAGGCGACGAUCCGUAGCUUGUCUGAGAGGAUGAUCAGCCACACUGGAACUGAGAAACGGUCCAGACUCCUACGGGAGGCAGCAGUGGGGAAUAUUGGACAAUGGGCGCAAGCCUGAUCCAGCCAUACCGCGUGGGUGAAGAAGGCCUUCGGGUUGUAAAGCCCUUUUGUUGGGAAAGAAAAGCAGCAGGUUAAUCCCCCGCUGUUCUGACGGUACCCAAAGAAUAAGCACCGGCUAACUUCGUG
rnacentral:rRNA from 1 species